UGAGGAAUAUUGGUCAAUGGACGCAAGUCUGAACCAGCCAUGCCGCGUGAAGGAUGAAGGCCUUCUGGGUUGUAAACUUCUUUUACCUGGGAAGAAACCUCCGAUUUCUAUUGGAGUUGACGGUACCAGAGGAAUAAGCACCGGCUAACUCCGUGCCAGCAGCCGCGGUAAUACGGAGGGUGCAAGCGUUAUCCGGAUUUACUGGGUUUAAAGGGUGUGUAGGCGGGCUAUUAAGUCAGUGGUGAAAUCUCCGGGCUCAACCUGGAAACUGCCAUUGAUACUAUUAGUCUUGAAUUCUGUUGAGGUAGGCGGAAUAAGUCAUGUAGCGGUGAAAUGCAUAGAUAUGACUUAGAACACCAAUUGCGAAGGCAGCUUACUAAACAGAUAUUGACGCUGAGGCACGAAAGCGUGGGGAUCAAACA
rnacentral:rRNA from 1 species